UACGAAGGGGGCGAGCGUUGUUCGGAUUGACUGGGCGUAAAGGGCGCGUAGGCGGUUCGUACAGUCAGACGUGAAAUUCCUGGGCUCAACCUGGGGGCUGCGUUUGAUACGUGCGGACUUGAGUGCGGAAGAGGGUCGUGGAAUUCCCAGUGUAGAGGUGAAAUUCGUAGAUAUUGGGAAGAACACCGGUGGCGAAGGCGGCGACCUGGUCCGAUACUGACGCUGAGGCGCGAAAGCGUGGGGAGCAAACAGG
rnacentral:rRNA from 1 species